rnacentral:rRNA from 1 species
UACGUAGGGUGCGAGCGUUGUCCGGAAUUAUUGGGCGUAAAGAGCUCGUAGGCGGUCUGUCGCGUCGGUCGUGAAAACUUGGGGCUUAACCCUGAGCUUGCGGUCGAUACGGGCAUGACUGGAGUUCGGCAGGGGAGACUGGAAUUCCUGGUGUAGCGGUGAAAUGCGCAGAUAUCAGGAAGAACACCCGUGGCGAAGGCGGUUCUCUGGGACGGUACUGACGCUGAGACGCGAAAGCGUGGGGAGCGAACAGG